UACAGAGGGGGCAAGCGUUGUUCGGAAUUACUGGGCGUAAAGGGCGCGUAGGCGGCCUGCUAAGUCGAACGUGAAAUCCCUGGGCUCAACCCAGGAACUGCGUCCGAUACUGGUUGGCUUGAAUCCGGGAGAGGAAUGUGGAAUUCCAGGUGUAGCGGUGAAAUGCGUAGAUAUCUGGAGGAACACCGGUGGCGAAGGCGACAUCCUGGACCGGUAUUGACGCUGAGGCGCGAAAGCCAGGGGAGCAAACGGG
rnacentral:rRNA from 1 species